GUUGUCCCUACAGGCAUUUAGGGAGCAAAUAUUUGCUUGAAGAUUGACAGCGAGUUUGUUCUCGCUUAAAAUAAGUAAUAAUUGCCUGAUUGAGCUUGCUUAAAGUGUUACGUUCUUCAUCCCUAGAUGAUGUUCGAUCUUGUCUUGGCUGCAAGUGUUGGGAGAGAGAAGUAACAGCCAGGGGUUUAAUGCCUGAAAGCAAUUUUCCCCAGACAAGAACUGUCAGUGCAUUAACUUCUGGCACACUGAUUUUCAAAAUCAAACUUCUACCUUGCAGGAAAUUGUAUUUCUGUCAUUCCUGCAGCGCAGAGGUCCAGCAAGACCUUCUCUCUCCACCUGACAGCUCUUUUACCUAUUCGAUUUGACCAUUUAACUCUUCAGCAGGCUACUGAAGAAAGUCAAGUCAUGAUGAGAGAGGUUCUAUGGGGCAGUUCAUUUGUUUUAAGGCUUAGCUGACAUGAAAAUCAAACCUUUUAGCUGUGGAAAAUCACUGCAGUUUCAGUCAAACCGGGGGUCUGUGCCUGCUUUGUGCCGGUGUCCCUGGGUGUGCGGGACCUGCGGGGAAUAUUGCAGCGGGCGAUGCAUCACUGCCGCAUUCUGCUGUGGGUGAAUCAAAGCAGCACCGUACUUUGGCCGUUUUCCACCCAGCUCAAAGGUUAGAUGAGGCUGGCAAGAUAUUAAUGAUUCCGCCAAAGUGUGCAAUGUCAUUAAGCUAAGAAAACAUCUAUAGGUACUCUAAAGUGCUUGUUGCUUGAAGAGCGUUGGUAAUUAUAUGGAUUGGAAAGAUGUAUGUUUGCUGCUUCUGAAACUCGGCCAGGCAAAAUGCUCGCAAUUAAUAAUCUGGAGCAAAAACUUUAUCUCCAUUGCUGCUGCAGAGCCUUUCAUUAAACAGAGUGCUAAAUACAUGGGGUGACAGCAUACGGAUUCUUUUUUGAUGAAUGAUUCUCCUUUAUUCGAGUAUUACUAUUCUGUGAACACCUCUGUGUGAUGGACCCGGGCGAGCUGGCAGUGCUUCCCAGUCGAUUGGUGAGUGGUUUGUAUGGGGUGUGGAAAUUGCCAAAAAAAGCUGAGAACGCUGGGUGGUUCUAACACUAAUUGUGUUGCAGGCAACGGUAAAUCUCCCUUGACUGUACUUGUGUGCAGUACUGAAGGGCGCUAUUCGUGAUUGCUGACUGUAUAAGGCCAAUAAGUAUGUUUUAAAAGAGUAUUCUUGAUACUGGCUAUCUUAAGUAGCAAAUGCUAAGGGUUUCUGAAACGAGAGGUGAGCCUAUAUGCAAGUCAAAAUUUUUAUUGUCUCAGAACAUCAUUUUGCUUGUGUGAUCUUGAAAUGAUGGGAUUCUGCAGUCUGGAGCCCUGUACCCCUCUCCUGCUGCACCUUGACUAAUACCUUUAAAUUCCCACUUAAGCCUAAGUGAGUAUCUGGGGUUGAAAUCGCAGUGGGCAGCAGGAACGCUUAUUUGACAGGAUAAUAAUUAUGUACUUAUGUAUCUGUUGCUUGCACGUUGGGUGUGAUAAACGCAAGGUAGUGGGUUUUUAAUUCUCAGAAUUGACCUGUGCUGUGUAAAACCUGUUAUUUUUGCCGCUGUUAUGUUGGACAGACAGCAGUUACUGCGGUUGCGCUCUGCCUGGCAGUGGAGUAGGAUGGGGUGUCUGUAACACCUGGCGCUAUGGCAAAUAACGGUGUAUGCGGAGAGAGAAAUUAUAGGCAGAGGGUGUUUAAAAACCAUGUGAAAAGUGUUUCUUCAGUGCAACUCAAACCACGUUACAGAUCUACUGAGGAGCACUCGAAAGCCAGGCUAGCUCCAACCCAGCAGCGACUGCCAGAGCUGCUGCUGACAAAGCUUUUCAGGAAUGAGUAUUAAACUCACCAGGCCCUCAAACUCUCGCGGGCACUUAGAAAGGUAAUAAAAUGCAGCAAGCAGAAAGCGAUAGGGUUGAAGUCUAACCAGGCGGAGGUUGCCGGAGGAGCUGGGAUGGCCAGCAGGGAUUUGCUAAGCAUGGAGCAGCCCCUGCUGCCCCGCCAGCGUCAGCCCUGCACGGCAGACGGGUGGGCGAGUGGUCCUGGGUCUGGCACGGAGCGAUCCCUGCCUUUUCAGGGAUCCUGCAUCUGUAGGGCAGGGCUGCCCUCAGCUGCAAAGGUAAUGGUCACGGUCGUUCCACAGGGACCUCAGGCACGUCUGCUGAAGCUCCUUAUUUAAAUGUUUUAAAUAAUACUCCAAAUACUCCCAAAACCUUACCAAUGAUAUGGACAGCAAGAAUUGUUGAGAUUUAUUUCCUUAUUUCUCUCUGCCUGGAUUUAAAGCGGUUUUGCACUAAUGGCUGCGAGUCGGAAAACCAAGUGCAACACUUGUUUAUUUUUUUUAAAGUUUGUGUAGAAACUGGAAAGGCAAGAACUGGGUUUUGGCUGCAUUCAGGGCGUCAUUUUUCCUACUCCUAACAGAAAAAAAAAAAAAAAAAUCCGUAAAAUGAACGUCCGUGGUGGAAAACUGGGUCCCUGCCUCCUGCAGAGGUAGGUGGGCUUGGAGCACCUAAGCCAGGCAGUGCUCCUGCAAUAACUUGGUAUUGUAAACAGCAUCUAGAGAGAGAUUUUCCAGGCAAAACCAAUCUGCUUCAUGCUGUGCUUUAGAUAACUCCUCAGUGCUCAUGUACCAUCAAUACAAGUCGCUCCGGAGCAGCGAUGCUGCCUGAGGCUGGUGUGCACCAGAGCCCGGUCCUGCCCUCCCCGCACAUUUUGAGCACUGCUGCAUCUCCUCCUGUAGUGAAGAUAGGUGUGCUAUUCUCCAGCAUAACUUGUGCUGUCGGGGCAAGGAGCACCCCAACUGUCAGUGCCUGUAGGACAGGGAGCGGUAGGAGCGAGCGGGGGAUGCUCACUGGGGUGGGCAGGCAGAGCCAUGGUGCUCUUGCACCGCUGUGCUGGGGCGUGGGCGGGCAGCUUGGGGUGUAUCGGCACACCCCUGCGUGGGUUUGGUUCGGAAGGGAUACUUGAGAUUUAUUGUCUCACCUCAAGAAAGCAGAGGAUAAAGGCAAAGCCAAAGGGAGCUUCCCUGUGCUGUGUGAUCUAGUUUGUAAGCGCUUACAUGGGAGAUAAACCAUUUACCAAUAUUUUGGCUAAGCUGCCUUUGAGAAGGUAAAAUAAGCUCGCUGAACUCCAGAGCAGCUUGUGUUUGGAGGCAGUACGACUUCCCCUACUGAAAUAAAAUGUCUCCUUUCUUGUGUCGGGAGGCUUGUCUUUGGGAACUGAUGUAGCUGAUAAGCUGAUACACUCGGCUGUGCAAGUUGCUGUAUUGACAGCGUGGCCAGGAUGCAGUGGUGCAGCCCAAAGGAGGUUUACAGGGACCACCAUUUCAUAUUUAGAGGGGAAAAUGGACUUUUAUGAUGCUUUUUGUGGGGGAAAGCCUAUUGUGAGGUUGUAUAAAAUUCCCAUGUUAAGUUACGAAAGUUAGGUAUUAUUGCCACUGGAAGGACAUCUAAUUUCCUAAUUUUCCCCGGUGCCCCUCAGUAUAGGUAUUUCUUUUUUCUAAACCAAAUAGCUGUUUUAAAAAAUGGCAUCAUCUGAUCAGUUGAGUGCUUUCCAAGGUUUCCCACUGUGGACUGCAGGUUAACAUGGCCAGGGGCUGCUCCCCCAGCAAGGCAUCCCCCAGCCGAGCAUCGCAGGUGCAGGGCAGAAUAGCGCUGCUAAGGAGGGCUGCAACAUCUCCAGCAGCGGGGUUUGGUCUGUUUUGGCUGUUAAAUCUGCAAAUAAUUCAACUUUUGUAUGAGAAGUUUCCUUAGCUAUAACUAAAAAGAUGUGAAAAUAUUUCUUCCAUCUUGCCCACUAACCUGGAUCUGAAAUCAAUCCUGCUUCUGUAAGCAAAGCACUGAUGGCUUCGGUGGAAAAUGAGUUUCACUCGUACAAUUAUCUGCAGUUGUUGCCUUAGACCUGAGGUGCUACAUAAUCGCUCUUCCCCUCAAGGGUUUCCAGCUUUUUCAAGUACUCGUAUCAUUUUGGGGUGCUUUGUCUUUCCCUGUCGCGCCUGUGGAGUCAUUUGCGUCACAGAAGUGGUAGAUCUUAUUUAUAUCAGCAAUCUGGGUUUCCUGCUCAGUGGUCUAUAGAUCUCCUUUAAAUGAGAAAAUCGCGCUAAGGCCAUUUAUUUCAGCUGGUCCGUGAUUUGUUAAAAUGAAAUCCGAGCGUGGCUGGGCGGGAGGAAAUAGCUGCAAUUCGGAGGGGCUGGGAAGGAAAGGGAAGUGCCGGGCUGAGAUUUAAUCCUCUCUCGGCUGGUAGAUGGCAACACUAAAAAAAGAGAACUAUAUUAAAGUGCUUAAUUCUUUAUGCAUACAAAAGCUGCUAGUAUGUACGGUCUGUAGGGAAUCGAAGUGCUUUUAGUGAGUUAUUAAAAAUUUAAUCUAAACUUUUUAUUUAAUGUAAUUCCUAUAUUGAAUUUAUUAAAGAGGGACUUGGGGAACUAUCAGAAUUCUGCACCUGAAUCAUGUAUGACCAUCCUCUUCUCUAUCUCCUUUGUCUGGUAGGAGUUUGAUGAUAAACUAUUCGUAGUAGUUAAAAAUAAUAAAAAUCUGUGAAUCAUUUCUUCUUA